UGAAAUUAAUUUACAAGAAUAGAAACAUAAUAUGGUCAAGAAUCAAACAAUGUCAAUUAAGAAAAUCAAGGAAUGGUGAUUGAUAGUCAAAUCGAGAACCAAGAGUAAAACUUAACUACACUAAUAAAGAAAGAAAAUAAAAUGGGACGGCAUGCUUUGCCCCUUAUUUCACCUUUCGCAAUUCCAGUAAACAAAGUUAUAUCAAUAACAUGAAACAUAAAAGAAAUUUUAUUGGAUUGUUAGUCAAUACUAAAGAAAGCACAAAUUCAAUUAGCUCAUCAAAGACACCAUCUACUAGAAUCCAAUUUCAAUGCGGGAUUAAUACUAAGUAAGUGAUCUCUUUGGCACCUAAUGGGUAUCCAUAUUUUAACCAAAUAUGCAUAUCAGAUAUAUGAUUAACAUUCCUUUUGUUUUAAGUUUCUCAAAACGCCUUCAAUUUUCUAUAUUGACAUAAAACACAAAUUAUAUUGGAACUCAUUCUAAUUUGAUAUUAAAAACCACUUUCUAGUUUCUAAUAUUGGGAUCACAUACUAAAUCAAACCCAAAUUUACAACCUUGCAUAAAACCCAAACGAGAACACUAAUUACCUACAAAAUCAACAAAUACUAGAAAAUCUAAAGGAUACCCAAAAGCUCUAAAGCAUGGGACUAGCAGAAUCCAAAAGCACUUAACCAAAAAGCACAAAUUUUAAACAAAACCCAAAUUGCAUUCAGGCAAGCAACAACAUGAAAGCAAAGAGAGUGACCUCGAGCACAUUGGGGAAAGCCAAAUGUUUGGGUUGAAACUUAAACUUUGGACUUAGAAGGGAGUUGGCCCAAAAAGAGAAGGAAAAGCUCGAAGCUCAGUCCAGACCUAGAAAGCAGAAAGG
rnacentral:lncRNA from 1 species